GGGGGGUUGCUUUCCAGGACUUGGUUGUGGGAGGGGCUUGGUGGGAUGUACAGUAGGUUGAGGUGAGGGACUUGUCUACUGAGCGUAUAAUUAUUUGUGGGCGAGCAAUAGGGUGUUACAUGUAUGUUGAAGGGGGGAGGGUAAAUUCUCAACUCAUGCAAUGUGGCUAGUUCAGGUUGUGAAUUAACCUGGUCGACUCACUACCUGUGUUCAGGUUGUGAAUUAACCUGGUCUAGUCCACUACCUGUGUUCAGGUUGUGAAUUAACCUGGUCUAGUCCACUACCUGUGUUCAGGUUGCGAAUUAACCUGGUCGACUCCACUACCUGUGUUCAGGUUGUGAAUUAACCUGGUCGACUCCACUACCUGUGUUCAGGUUGUGAAUUAACCUGGUCUAGUCCACUACCUGUGUUCAGGUUGUGAAUUAACCUGGUCUAGUCCACUACCUGUGUUCAGGUUGUGAAUUAACCUGGUCGACUCACUACCUGUGUUCAGGUUGCGAAUUAACCUGGUCGACUCCACUACCUGUGUUCAGGUUGUGAAUUAACCUGGUCUAGUCCACUACCUGUGUUCAGGUUGUGAAUUAACCUGGUCGACUCCACUACCUGUGUUCAGGUUGUGAAUUAACCUGGUCUAGUCCACUACCUGUGUUCAGGUUGUGAAUUAACCUGGUCGACUCCACUACCUGUGUUUGUGGUUCGACAUCAGUCUCUCUUGAUUGGAGGAGGCAGCAGCGAAGCGUUUUUUUUAGUCUGUAGCCAGGCGACUGACGGCAGGAGCAUUAGGGGGGAUAGUCCUGAGGCGUCUAUCGAUGGCGGGUUAGCGUGGUUGUUGUGCUGCACCCCAAACAGUACCCUAUUCCUUAUAUAGUACACUACUUUUAGCCCAGAACCCCUAUGGGCCGUGGUCAAAAACCUGUGCACUAUAUAUAGGGAAUAGAGUUUCCAUUUGAGAGAGAGAACGUUGGAUAAAGAUGUUACAUUCCAUAGAAACUGUCACUAUGCUUCUUCUUCUUCUGUUGGACUGACCUGCUAACGCCAUUUUGUAUUUCUGUGUCAAUUAGGAGGUAUGGGGGGAGAGUCUACAACAAAGAGGACACUGGUAAUACUUGGACUGUUUUAUAACCAGCAGAGCAGGAAGAAUUUCCCCAUGUGCUUUAUCUAGUUAGUGCUUUUUUCCCUCUUCCAAUUUAAGGUUUUUAUUUUGAUACUUGUGGUUAAGAACUAGUUAAACGGGGAGAAAAGGGAGGUUAUCGUUGGGCUUGGCUGUCUUUGUCCGUGUCUUUUUUUUGGAAAUUUUCAUACAAAACACCCGAGCAUAACUGUUAUCUGGGGGGAAAAUGUUAUUUCAUGUAUGUGGAAUUAAAAAGAUAAUAUAAAAAAAAA